rnacentral:rRNA from 1 species
UACGGAGGGUGCAAGCGUUAUCCGGAGUCACUGGGUUUAAAGGGUGCGUAGGUGGGCAGGUAAGUCAGUGGUGAAAUCUCCGAGCUUAACUCGGAAACUGCCGUUGAUACUAUUUGUCUUGAAUAUUGUGGAGGUAAGCGGAAUAUGUCAUGUAGCGGUGAAAUGCUUAGAUAUGACAUAGAACACCAAUUGCGAAGGCAGCUUACUACACAACCAUUGACGCUGAGGCACGAAAGCGUGGGGAUCAAACAGG